rnacentral:rRNA from 1 species
AUGUACAUCCUAUAGCAUAGCGUUAUUGCAUCGGAUUCCGUUAUAAUUCUAUAGUUAAGCACACUUGAACUAGAGUAGUACUAGGAUGGGUGACCACCUGGGAAGUCCUAGUAUUUUACAUG